rnacentral:rRNA from 1 species
GAUGAACGCUAGCGGCAGGCUUAAUACAUGCAAGUCGUGGGGCAGCAUGAGUAGCAAUACUUGAUGGCGACCGGCAAACGGGUGAGGAACACGUACACAACCUUCCUUCAAGCGGGGAAUAGCCCAGAGAAAUUUGGAUUAAAUACCCCAUAAUAUAUUUGAUAAGGCAUCUUAUUAAUAUUAAAGCUUCGGCAUUUGAUGAUGGGUGUGCGGCUGAUUAGAUAGUUGGCGGGGUAACGGCCCACCAAGUCUACGAUCAGUAGCUGAUGUGAGAGCAUGAUCAGCCACACGGGCACUGAGACACGGGCCCGACUCCUACGGGAGGCAGCAGUAAGGAAUAUUGGACAAUGGACGAAAGUCUGAUCCAGCCAUGCCGCGUGAAGGAUUAAGGUCCUCUGGAUUGUAAACUUCUUUAUAUAGGGUACGAAAAAGGGCAAUUCUUGUUCACUUGACGGUACCAUAUGAAUAAGCACCGGCUAACUCCGU